rnacentral:misc_RNA from 1 species
CCUCCUUUCUAAGGCAAAACCAAUAAAAUCAAUCAUCUUCAGUUUUGAAAGACUUAGGCAACUAAGUUUUUCUUCGUCUGACUUCACGAAGGGCCUAUAGCUCAGUUGGUUAGAGCGCACGCCUGAUAAGCGUGAGGUAACGGUGGUUCAAGUCCAUUUAGGCCCACCAGAGUUAUAGGUUUCGUAAGAACACAAAUUCUGAUUGAAAAUUAGGUAAAUAAUAGUUAUUUAUCCGGAACAUUAAAGGAA